ensembl:snRNA U4 U4 spliceosomal RNA
AGCUUUGCGCAGUGGCAGUAUCGUAGCCAAUGAGGUUUAUCCGAGGCGCGAUUAUUGCUAAUUGAAAAACCAAAAAUGGCAAUUUCAUACAGUUCAAGGUAAUACUUUUGUAUAUCAAUAGGUCUA